rnacentral:rRNA from 1 species
GAUGAACGCUGGCGGCGUGCCUAACACAUGCAAGUCGAACGGAGUCCAGCCUUAGAGACCUUCGGGUCAAAGAGGGGAAGACUGAGUGGCGGACGGGUGAGUAACACGUGGGCAACCUGGCUCAUAGAGGGGGAUAACAGAGAGAAAUUUCUGCUAAUACCGCAUAAGCACACACUGCCGCAUGGCAGAGUGUGAAAAGAGAAUCGCUAUGAGAUGGACCCGCGUCUGAUUAGCCAGUUGGCAGGGUAAGAGCCUACCAAAGCGACGAUCAGUAGCCGAUUUGAGAGGAUGUACGGCCACAUUGGGACUGAGACACGGCCCAAACUCCUACGGGAGGCAGCAGUGGGGGAUAUUGCACAAUGGGGGGAACCCUGAUGCAGCGACGCCGCGUGAGUGAAGAAGUAUUUCGGUAUGUAAAGCUCUAUCAGCAGGGAAGAUAAUGACAGUACCUGAAUAAGAAGCCCCGGCUAACUACGUG